rnacentral:rRNA from 1 species
GACGUAGGGCGCGAGCGUUGUCCGGAUUUAUUGGGCGUAAAGAGCGUGUAGGCGGCCGCACAGGUCCGUUGUGAAAACUGGAGGCUUAACCUUCAGACGUCGAUGGAAACCGUGCGGCUAGAGUCCGGAAGAGGAGAGUGGAAUUCCUGGUGUAGCGGUGAAAUGCGUAGAUAUCUGGAGGAACACCGGUGGCGAAGGCGGCAUCCUGGACCGGCAUUGACGCUGAGGCGCGAAAGCUAGGGGAGCAAACGGG